UGGCAGGUUGAUGUCUUAACCUACACUGGCUACGUAGUUCUGGAAUGCAAGGACUGCUUUUAAGGAUCACGCCUUCUACUGGCAGGUGAGCCCCUAUCUUUGGGUUCAGUCGGUGCUGAAUCUUACUCCCAACUAAAUAGACCAUGGACUGAUUACUAGACUGUACUGGAUUUGACUAAACUAUUAAUGAUCGUGUUGACUGACUAAAUAAGACUGAAUUCACUGAGUUCU
rnacentral:lncRNA from 1 species